rnacentral:rRNA from 1 species
UUAAUACCGUAUACGCCCUUCGGGGGAAAGAUUUAUCGGCAAAGGAUCGGCCCGCGUUGGAUUAGGUAGUUGGUGGGGUAAUGGCCUACCAAGCCGACGAUCCAUAGCUGGUUUGAGAGGAUGAUCAGCCACACUGGGACUGAGACACGGCCCAGACUCCUACGGGAGGCAGCAGUGGGGAAUCUUAGACAAUGGGGGCAACCCUGAUCUAGCCAUGCCGCGUGAGUGAUGAAGGCCUUAGGGUUGUAAAGCUCUUUCAGCUGGGAAGAUAAUGACGGUACCAGCAGAAGAAGCCCCGGCUAACUCCGUGCCAGCAGCCGCGGUAAUACGGAGGGGGCUAGCGUUGUUCGGAAUUACUGGGCGUAAAGCGCACGUAGGCGGAUCGGAAAGUUGGGGGUGAAAUCCCGGGGCUCAACCUCGGAACUGCCUCCAAAACUAUCGGUCUUGAGUUCGAGAGAGGUGAGUGGAAUUCCGAGUGUAGAGGUGAAAUUCGUAGAUAUUCGGAGGAACACCAGUGGCGAAGGCGGCUCACUGGCUCGAUACUGACGCUGANGUGCGAAAGCGUGGGGAGCAAACAGGAUUAGAUACCCUG